rnacentral:rRNA from 1 species
UGGGGAAUAUUGGACAAUGGGCGCAAGCCUGAUCCAGCAAUGCCGCGUGUGUGAAGAAGGCCUUCGGGUUGUAAAGCACUUUCAGCGAGGAGGAAGGUGGUGGACUUAAUACGUUCAUCAAUUGACGUUACUCGCAGAAGAAGCACCGGCUAACUCCGUGCCAGCAGCCGCGGUAAUACGGAGGGUGCAAGCGUUAAUCGGAAUUACUGGGCGUAAAGCGCACGCAGGCGGUUUGUUAAGUCAGAUGUGAAAUCCCCGGGCUCAACCUGGGAACUGCAUUUGAAACUGGCAAGCUAGAGUCUCGUAGAGGGGGGUAGAACUCCAGGUGUAGCGGUGAAAUGCGUAGAGAUCUGGAGGAAUACCGGUGGCGAAGGCGGCCCCCUGGACGAAGACUGACGCUCAGGUGCGAAAGCGUGGGGAGCAAACAGAUUAGAUACCCUGGUAGUCCACGCUGUAAACGAUGUCGAUUUUGGAGGUUGUGCCCUUGAGGCGUGGCUUCCGGAGCUAACGCGUUAAAUCGACCGCCUGGGGAGUACGGCC